rnacentral:tRNA from 1 species
GUCUCGGUAGUGUAAGGGGUAGAGCACGGUACCCAGAAAGGGCAAGUACGGGUUUGAGUCCCGUCCGAGACU